UACGCCAGCUUGCAUGCCUGCAGGUCGACGAUUAGAGUUUGAUCCUGGCUCAGGAUGAACGCUAGCGGCAGGCUUAACACAUGCAAGUCGAGGGGCAGCAUUAAUUCAGUUUACUAUAUUAGAUGGCGACUGGCGGACGGGUGCGUAACGCGUAUGCAACCUACCAAUAACAGGGGGAUAAUCCGGAGAAAUUUGGUCUAAUACCCCGUAAUAUAUUAGAAGGCAUCUUUUGAUAUUGAAAGAAUUUUGGUUAUUGAUGGGCAUGCGUGACAUUAGUUAGAUGGUGAGGUAACGGCUCACCAUGACUACGAUGUCUAGGGGAACUGAGAGGUUAACCCCCCACACUGGUACUGAGACACGGACCAGACUCCUACGGGAGGCAGCAGUGAGGAAUAUUGGUCAAUGGAGGCAACUCUGAACCAGCCAUGCCGCGUGCAGGAUGACGUCUCUAUGAGUUGUAAACUGCUUUUGUAGAGGGGUAAAAUUAGGCACGUGUGCUUAACUGCAAGUACUCUACGAAUAAGGAUCGGCUAACUCCGUGCCAGCAGCCGCGGUAAUACGGAGGAUCCAAGCGUUAUCCGGAUUUAUUGGGUUUAAAGGGUGCGUAGGUGGCUUUAUAAGUCGGUGGUGAAAACACAAUGCUCAACAUUGUGCCUGCCAUCGAAACUGUAAGGCUAGAGAAUGGACGCAGAUGGCGGAAUGUGUAGUGUAGCGGUGAAAUGCUUAGAUAUUACACAGAACACCGAUUGCGAAGGCAGCUGUCUAGGCCAUAUCUGACGCUGAUGCACGAAAGCGUGGGGAUCAAACAGGAUUAGAUACCCUGGUAGUCCACGCAGUAAACGAUGGUAACUCGUUGUAGGCGAUACACAGUCUGUAACCAAGCGAAAGCGAUAAGUUAUCCACCUGGGGAGUACGUUCGCAAGAAUGAAACUCAAAGGAAUUGACGGGGGCCCGCACAAGCGGAGGAACAUGUGGUUUAAUUCGAUGAUACGCGAGGAACCUUACCCGGGCUUGAAAGUUAGCGAUGGAUUUGGAAACAGAUCUUCCCUUCGGGGCGCGAAACUAGGUGCUGCAUGGUUGUCGUCAGCUCGUGCCGUGAGGUGUCGGGUUAAGUCCCAUAACGAGCGCAACCCCUAUCGAUAGUUGCCAGCGAGUAGUGUCGGGGACUCUAUCGAGACUGCCGGUGUAAACCGCGAGGAAGGUGGGGAUGACGUCAAAUCAGCACGGCCCUUACGUCCGGGGCGACACACGUGUUACAAUGGUCGGUACAGAGGGUAGCUACCUGGUGACAGGAUGCCAAUCUCUAAAGCCGAUCUCAGUUCGGAUUGGAGGCUGAAACUCGCCUCCAUGAAGUUGGAUUCGCUAGUAAUCGCACAUCAGCCAUGGUGCGGUGAAUACGUUCCCGGGCCUUGUACACACCGCCCGUCAAGCCACGGAAGUUGGGGGUGCCUGAAGUACGUGACCGCAAGGAGCGUCCUAGGGCAAAACCGAUAACUGGGGCUAAGUCGUAACAAGGCCGUAA
rnacentral:rRNA from 1 species